UGUAAACGAUGUCGAUUUAGAGUUUGUUGCCUAGAGUGAUGGGCUCCGAAGCUAACGCGAUAAAUCGACCGCCUGGGGAGUACGGCCGCAAGGUUAAAACUCAAAUGAAUUGACGGGGGCCCGCACAAGCGGUGGAGCAUGUGGUUUAAUUCGAUGCAACGCGAAGAACCUUACCUGGUCUUGACAUCCAUAGAAUUCUGCAGAGAUGUGGGAGUGCCUUCGGGAACUAUGAGACAGGUGCUGCAUGGCUGUCGUCAGCUCGUGUUGUGAAAUGUUGGGUUAAGUCCCGCAACGAGCGCAACCCUUAUUCUUUGUUGCCAGCGAUUUGGUCGGGAACUCAAAGGAGACUGCCGUUGAUAAAGCGGAGGAAGGUGGGGACGACGUCAAGUCAUCAUGGCCCUUACGACCAGGGCUACACACGUGCUACAAUGGCGUAUACAAAGGGAAGCGAAGGUGCGAGCUGGAGCGGAUCUCAUAAAGUACGUCUAAGUUCGGAUUGGAGUCUGCAACUCGACUCCAUGAAGUCGGAAUCGCUAGUAAUCGUAGAUCAGAAUGCUACGGUGAAUACGUUCCCGGGCCUUGUACACACCGCCCGUCACACCAUGGGAGUGGGUUGCACCAGAAGUAGAUAGCUUAACCGCGAGGGGGGCGUUUACCACGGUGUGAUUCAUGACUGGGGUGAAGUCGUAACAAGGUAACCA
rnacentral:rRNA from 1 species